AACGAACGCUGGCGGCAUGCCUAACACAUGCAAGUCGAACGAGACCUUCGGGUCUAGUGGCGCACGGGUGCGUAACGCGUGGGAACCUGCCCUUAGGUUCGGAAUAACUCCCCGAAAGGGGUGCUAAUACCGGGUAAUGUCUUCGGACCAAAGAUUUAUCGCCUUUGGAUGGGCCCGCGUUGGAUUGGCUAGUUGGUAGGGUAAGAGCCUACCAAGGCGACGAUACAUAGCUGGUCUGAGAGGAUGAUCAGCCACACUGAGACUGAGACACGGCACAGAAUCCUACGGGAGGCAGCAGUGGGGAAUAUUGGACUAUGGGCGGAAGCAUGAUCCAGCAAGGCCGCGUGAGUGAUGAAGGCCUUAGGGUUGUAAAGCUCUUUUACCCGGGAUGAUAAUGACAGUACCGGGAGAAUAAGCACCGGCUAACUCCGUG
rnacentral:rRNA from 1 species